rnacentral:rRNA from 1 species
GAUGAACGCUGGCGGCGUGCUUAACACAUGCAAGUCGAACGAGAAGUGGAGACGGAAACCUUCGGGCGGAAGACUUUACUUCGAGUGGCGGACGGGUGAGUAACGCGUGGGUAACCUGCCUCAUACAGGGGGAUAACAGUUGGAAACGACUGUUAAUACCGCAUAAGACCACAGCACCGCAUGGUGCGGGGGUAAAAACUCCGGUGGUAUGAGAUGGACCCGCGUUCGAUUAGCCAGUUGGCGGGGUAACGGCCCACCAAAGCGACGAUCGAUAGCCGAUCUGAGAGGAUGACCGGCCACAUUGGGACUGAGACACGGCCCAAACUCCUACGGGAGGCAGCAGUGGGGAAUAUUGCACAAUGGGGGAAACCCUGAUGCAGCGACGCCGCGUGAGUGAAGAAGUAUUUCGGUAUGUAAAGCUCUAUCAGCAGGGAAGAAAAUGACAGUACCUGAGUAAGAAGCCCCGGCUAACUACGUA